rnacentral:lncRNA from 10 species
UAGGAGGAGCAACGGGAGAAUUUCUUUCCCCCUAUUCCCUGGCCAGUCUCCUUCCUUCCAGUUCAAUUACGUCUAAAUGCAAAGAGGCUUUCCUACAAGUGAGGAGGGUGGGGUACAAAACACCCCAAAACCCAGUCAGUAGCUCCUCCUCACAGCAGCUUUCAAAAUUUCUCUUGCCACUUAACACAUAGGCAGAAGGAGGAGGGAACACCCUUCAUCCUCAGCCCUCCUCCCUUUCCCCCAGGUUGAUGCUGUGAAGUCCUCCCCAGUUAUUACCCACUCCCACAGCCUCCCCUCCUUCUUGGCCUUAUUAACCUGUCUUGCCCUCGGGUACAAACAUAAAUUGUGCACAAACGCCAUGCAAGGAAGUGAUGCCUCCUCAACUGCCAUUGGCAAAUCAGAGGACCUAAGCGUGUGUAAUCACACUCAUCAGAAGUUAUCUCCCAUCUAAGCAUUUAAGUGUCAUCGGUCCUGUAGAACACUGUAGUUCUGCUAGAGAACUGGCAUUCCAGUUUAAAGCAGCAACUUCAUAAAGGCAUGGUAUCUACUUCCUGUUAUUGACUAUUCACUGUGGUUGGUUCUCUAGAUGUCACAGGAAACUUAUCAGAAUGUAAAGACUUCAUAAAAGAAAGAGAAUAAAGAAAUAGCUAGCAUAUAAUCUUUCUUGUGGCUUUCCUUUUGUUGUACAAGAUGCCACUGCUUUUUACCUUUAUAUUUUUUCAAGGACAACUACAAUCUUUGAGAGCAAGUCUCUCUAAAAUCACUCUAUUCACCCUAAUUACUUGUACAUUACACAUAGGAUAUCCUAGCUUAAUAGUACAAUCAGGCCAUCAAGUGUAGAUUUUUUUAAACCCUAAUGAUUCCUCUAACAAGAGCUUUAGCAUCAUUAUUCCUGUCCCAAAUUAGUGAGCUCAGUGAUACCAAUUGCACUCAAUGGCAGUGAUGGAAGUUAGGACAGAAGGAUAAAUAUUUUCAAAUGUUAAGGUAGAGCCCAACACCCAUGCUGCUGAGAAGGGAGGAAAGAAAGGUUUUCUUCAGCUUAUUUGACAAUGGGAACAAUUUCUCCUUGUAUGUAGAGACAGAAAUAAAUGUAACUGCUUCAUUAGAAUUAGAAGCUAGGAAGAUUUGGAAAAUGAAUGACCCAGGAGAAAAAAAACUAAAAGAUAUCUUGUAGUAUUUUAUUGCUAGUGGUAUACCCACUAAUAAACAUAUUUUGUGACUGCAUUGGAAUUUGAUUUCUCAAUCAGAAAAUACAGUCAUUUUAAUGGAAUAUUUUUAUAUCUGGCGUUUUGGGAGAAAAGAAUGGGAAUAUAGAAAUAGAAAAAUUACUUAGAUGUAUAUGUGUACAGCCAAGUGUAAUUCUGUGCAUGUUUAAGCAUCAUCUAAGUAUAUAUUUAGAUAGAUAGAUAGACAGAUAAAUAGAUAGUCAUACAGCUUAAAUAAUUCAAAGACAAAUUCUCCAACCCUAGAAAAUAGAAACACAUUUUUUUCAGCUAAUGAAGUUAUCAUUACCUUUUUCUAUAACAUGAUAUUCUCCACUGAACUAGGAAGAUAUAGAAGAGCAAAAUUAAAUUGGUGUUACUGAAAAAAUGGCAUAUAUUGGUUGGAUGAAGAGAUUCCAGGCACUGCUCAAUUCAAAUGAAUCCAGAAUACUCUCCACAGUUCUGGGAAGUUGAUGUUCUGAUCCUACUUCUUUUGGCCUACUUUCUGCGUGCUCUCUUUUCCCAUUAUCUAUCUUUCUCAAAGGUAAUAGAAAAACUUGUGUAAAAGCUAACCCCAAAUUAUUGGUUUGCAAAUCUGUUACAUUACUAUUUCUCCCAUAUUUUGUAUUUGCACACAAAGGUUUCCUAAAAAUAAAAUAUAGGCACUUUAUAGGAAAAAAUAAUUUAUUAUUACAAAUUAUUGACUCUUCCUUAAACGUGAAUCUACCUUAAAAUUAAAUGAAAACAAGACAUAUUUCUUCCAAUUUUCUGGCAUUAGAUCAUUCAGUAAGAGCUCUGUCUUAGUCUGUUUUCUGCUGCUGUAAAGAAAUACCAUAGCCUGGGUAAUUUAUUAAAAAACAAAACAAAACAAAAACAGAAAUUUGUUUGGUUCAUGGUUCAGGAGCCUGGAAAGUCCAAGAGCAUGGCAUGGGCAUCUGAUGAGGGUCAUCCCAUGAUGGAAGGCAGAAGACAGAAGCCAGUGCACAAGACAGACAGGGAAGUGGCCUAACUUAUCCAGUUAUCAGAAGUCCACUCUGAUGAUAACUAACCCACUCCCGAGGGUGGGGACUUCAUGGCAUAAUCAACUUUUAAAGGUCCCACCUCCUAACACCAUUACAACGGCAACAAAAUUUCAACAUGACUUUUGGCAGGGACAUUCAAACCACUGCAAGCUCUAUUUUAUUUUUAUUUCUAUCUGUAUGUUUGUUUGUUUUAACCUAUGUCUAAAUUAAUAAGCUUAAGCAAAAGAUUGUUAGUGGUUAACAACUUGGACUUAGAAGCUAGACUGCCUGGGUGCAAAUCCUCUCUUUACUACUUAUUCGCAGUAUAACCCCUAGGCAAGUUAGUUAACUCUUCUGUGCCUCGGUCUCUUUAUAACAUGGGGACAAUAAUAGUGGCUAAUUCAUAGGUUGUUAUGAAGAUUAAAUGUGAUAUUAUAAAGAAAAUACUUCCAACAGUGUCUGGCUCAGAGCAAGCACUAAUAUUUUACACCAUAUAAUUGCCUAGGCAUGCAAUAAAAAGUUGAAGAGACUGAACUUCAAAUGAAACAAACACAAAGUUAUUGCAAAUCCAAGGUCUGUUAUGUAGAGGCUACCUAAAGAUACAUGAAUAGGUUUAUUCAUUGAACAAGUAGUUAAGGGGUUACAUACUGGGCUCUGGCCUUUGCUAGGAGAAAAGCAUCAUAUAGGGUGAAAAAAAGAAGACAGAAAUCUUAUGACGUUAAAAUAAAGGCACACUUUAUGGUGAAGAACAUGCAGUUAUCUUUCCAGUUCAAAAGAUAAGAUAAAAAGAGGCACUGCAGCAAAUAUUAAAUAUAUUAGCCAUUUAAAGAGAAAUUAAGAACAAUGAUUAAAUGUUGAGAAACCCCUAUAGAAGAAAAUAUUUUAUUUUAAAUACAUAAGUAUUGCAUAAUCUGUUUUCUACCACACAUUUAUGGUCAUACAGAGAAAGAUUUAAAUGUAAAGAUCCACAUGACUCUUGUAUUUCUUUAGUUUUUUUUUUUUUAACCUUAAGGCACAUCAAGGAAAAACACCUUUUUAUAAAUUUAAAUAAUAUAUUUUAUGGAAAUACAGUGACAAAUUUCAUUAGAGAUUUUUUUUAUGACCAACUUACAGAAAGGGCUCAUUAUGAAUAAAUUCAGGGCCUCAAAAAAGCCAUUUACAGAGAGAACCAUUAUCUCUGUAAGAUGACCUAAUUUAUUCUAAAAGACUCCUAGACUGGUAGGAAUGCUGUACACAUUGAUGAAGCCAUUACAAGGCACUUUGGGUUAAAUAUGAAUGACUAAAUAUACCAAAAACUACAGGUGUAAAAAAAGGGUUUGUGAGUUUAGUAUGGGUGAAGUGUAUGAACAAAGAAAAAGAACUGUUAGCUAUUAAAAAAAAAAAAAAAAAAAGCUUGGCUCCCAUGAGUUCAGUGUACUGCAGUGGAAACUCCUUCAAUCUCACUAGACUCACAGUCUUUUGCCUGGGUAAAGGGCUAUUAAAACUUAGAAGUAACUCAUGUGCACUAAUAAUUACUAACAAUGAUUUCCUAAGGCUGUUUGCGUAGAAUAGUGAUUAAUUUUAUAUAAAAUAAUCACUCCCCAUUAUUAUCAAAACUGUUGUCAAACCUAUGAAAAGAAACAUUAGCACACAUCUCUGGGUAGUUCAGAACUCUUUCUAUUCAGCCCACAUACCUAACUCAAACUGGCUUAAGAGAAAACAAAACAAAAUUAUUGAGGACAAAAGGAUUUGCUAGGUCAUGUAACUGGAAGGCUGGGGGUAGCCUAACUCAGAUUUAAGCAUAAAUUCUCUCCAUCUCUUAGCUCCGCCUUUUUUUGUGUUGGUUUCAUUAUUUCAGUUUUGCCCAGUGUGGAGGCAAAGAUCACCACCAGAACCUCCAGGAUUUCAACAAUGAAUGGUUUAGCAAGUCAUUGUUGAAAGAAUAUGUCUUGUUCCCAAUAGUUUGAGCAAAACACAAUCCUUCUGGCCUGAAUCUUUUACAUAAACCUAAAGUCAAGUGGUGGACCUGACCACAUGGGCAAAAAGUGGUGAAGAAGUGACUGCCCAAAGAUAACACUAGGCUAGACAGAAAAAAAGGAUAAAAAGUAACUAGACAAGCAAAUCAACAGAUGUCCACUAAACUUACUGUUUCAAAUUGUUAUUUCAAUAAUACUAGUUAGUUAUUCAUCACUUAUGUAUUAGCACCUCCUGUAUGCUGAGUAUUACCAGUGGUGCUGAUUAUACAGAAUUGAAGAAGACAUGAUAUCUCCCUUCAUGGAGCUUACACUUUACUGUACG